AUACGGAGGAUGCGAGCGUUAUCCGGAUUUAUUGGGUUUAAAGGGAGCGUAGGUGGGAUAUUAAGUCAGCUGUGAAAGUUUGGGGCUCAACCUUAAAAUUGCAGUUGAUACUGGUUUCCUUGAGUACGGUACAGGUGGGCGGAAUUCGUGGUGUAGCGGUGAAAUGCUUAGAUAUCACGAAGAACUCCGAUCGCGAAGGCAGCUCACCGGGCCGGAACUGACACUGAUGCUCGAAAGUGCGGGUAUCAAACAGGGUUAGAUACCCUGGUAGUCCGCACAGUAAACGAUGAAUACUCGCUGUUUGCGAUACACGGUAAGCGGCCAAGCGAAAGCGUUAAGUAUUCCACCUGGGGAGUACGCCGGCAACGGUGAAACUCAAAGGAAUUGGCGGGG
rnacentral:rRNA from 1 species